CCUGGUAGUGGGGGAUAACGCUCGGAAACGGACGCUAAUACCGCAUACGUCCUACGGGAGAAAGCAGGGGACCUUCGGGCCUUGCGCUAUCAGAUGAGCCUAGGUCGGAUUAUCUAGUUGGUGAGGUAAUGGCUCACCAAGGCGACGAUCCGUAACUGGUCUGAGAGGAUGAUCAGUCACACUGGAACUGAGACACGGUCCAGACUCCUACGGGAGGCAGCAGUGGGGAAUAUUGGACAAUGGGCGAAAGCCUGAUCCAGCCAUGCCGCGUGUGUGAAGAAGGUCUUCAGAUUGUAAAGCACUUUAAGUUGGGAGGAAGGGCAGUUACCUAAUACGUAUCUGUUUUGACGUUACCGACAGAAUAAGCACCGGCUAACUCUGUGCCAGCACCCGCGGUAAUACAGAGGGUGCAAGCGUUAAUCGGAAUUACUGGGCGUAAAGCGCGCGUAGGUGGUUCGUUAAGUUGGAUGUGAAAUCCCCGGGCUCAACCUGGGAACUGCAUUCAAAACUGACGAGCUAGAGUAUGGUAGAGGGUGGUGGAAUUUCCUGUGUAGCGGUGAAAUGCGUAGAUAUAGGAAGGAACACCAGUGGCGAAGGCGACCACC
rnacentral:rRNA from 1 species